GAUGAACGCUGGCGGUGUGCCUAAUACAUGCAAGUCGAGCGAACAGACGAGGAGCUUACUCCUCUGACGUUAGCGGCGGACGGGUGAGUAACACGUGGAUAACCUACCUAUAAGACUGGGAUAACUUCGGGAAACCGGAGCUAAUACCGGAUAACAUGUUGAACCGCAUGGUUCAACAGUGAAAGACGGUCUUGCUGUCACUUAUAGAUGGAUCCGCGUCGCAUUAGCUAGUUGGUAAGGUAACGGCUUACCAAGGCAACGAUGCGUAGCCGACCUGAGAGGGUGAUCGGCCACACUGGAACUGAGACACGGUCCAGACUCCUACGGAAGGCAGCAGUAGGGAAUCUUCCGCAAUGGGCGAAAGCCUGACGGAGCAACGCCGCGUGAGUGAAGAAGGUCUUCGGAUCGUAAAACUCUGUUAUUAGGGAAGAACAAAUGUGUAAGUAACUAUGCACGUCUUGACGGUACCUAAUCAGAAAGCCACGGCUAACUACGUG
rnacentral:rRNA from 1 species